rnacentral:precursor_RNA from 15 species
UGAUAGUAAAGCCACAAAUCCAAAAGAACGGUGGGUAGAACUUUGAUUAAUAUUGCUUGAAAAAUAUUAGUCAAAGAUUUUCCCCAUAGAUUUAUCAAUUUCGGCAAUGUACAAACGCA